GUUUUAAAGUCAAAUCAUUUUAUCAUGUAGUCUUUGUAGAGGAUGAGGUAAUGUAAACUAGUUUUCCUUGGAAGCAUGUUUGAACAAUUAGUUUCCUAAGCUUGCUCUUUUGCUUGAUAAGGAGAGAUUUUUGACCAUUGGCAAUUUCAGAAGAAUGGGAUUAGCUUCGUGAAUAUGUUCAUCAUUAUGUAAUGAUGUGUCAUGUAACUAGGUUCUGAAUCACAAAAAAAACAGAAAUUAUAGAGGAAAGAAGGAAUAGAGAAGAGAGAAAAAAAGAGAGAGACAAAUUUAGAGAGGAAAAC
rnacentral:misc_RNA from 1 species